rnacentral:vault_RNA from 1 species
GGUUAGGCUUAGUCGUGUGGUUACUUCGUUAAAAUGAUAACAUUUCACAAACCUUGAAAAUCUUGUACGAACAUCCCGGAAACUGGAUGGUUGUAUAAUAGCCACUGACGCCAUCCUGACCUCCA